rnacentral:misc_RNA from 1 species
GAUGAAGAACGAAGCGAAAUGCGAUACUUGGUGUGAAUUGCAGAAUCCCGUGAACCAUCGAGUCUUUGAACGCAAGUUGCGCCUCAAGCCAUUAGGUUGAGGGCACGUCUGCCUGGGCGUCACAUAUCGUUGCCUGAUGCCAGUUUCCUCGUGAUGGGUGACUGUGCAGGGCGAAUGAUGGCUUCCCGUGAGCAUUGUUGCCUCAUGGUUGGUUGAAAAUUGAGUCCUUGGUAGGGAGCGCCGUGAUAGAUGGUGGUUGAGUGCCGAACGAGACCCAAUCAUGUGAGACCCCUACCGAAUUUGGCCUUCAUGACCCACAUGCGUCUUUGGAACGCUCAUGACGAGACCUCAGGUCAGGCGGGGCUACCCGCUGAGUUUAAGCAUAUCAAUAAGCGGAGGA